rnacentral:rRNA from 1 species
CCUACGGGAGGCAGCAGUGAGGACUAUUGGUCAAUGGGCGCGAGCCUGAACCAGCCAAGUAGCGUGAAGGAUGACUGCCCUACGGGUUGUAAACUUCUUUUAUAAAGGAAUACAGUGAGGCACGUUUGCCUUUUUGUCUGUUCUUAUGAAUAAGGCUCGGCUAACUCCGUGCCAGCAGCAGCGGUAAUACGGAGGAUCCGAGCGUUAUCCGGAUUUAGUGGGGUUAAAGGGAGCGUAGAUGGGUUGUUAAGUCAGGUGUGAAAGGUUGCGGCGCAACCGUAAAAUUGCAAUUGAUACUGGCAGCUGUGAGUACAGUUGAGGUAGGCGGAAUUCGUGGUGUAGCGGUGAAAUGCUUAGAUAUCACGAAGAACUCCGAUUGCGAAGGCAGCCUACUAAACUGCCACUGACAUUGAUGCUCGAAAGUGUGGGUAUCAAACAGGAGUAGAUACCCCAGUAGUC